ensembl:lncRNA
GUCAAUGUCAACACCACCCUCCUUUACUAACAAUGGAUAGUAAAGGAGGGAGGGGUGGGUGAAAGUAAAACGUAAACCACAUCCUGCUCCAACUCUGGCUCCUAAACAUUUCAACACUGGUGCUACUGACUGGAAUAAAGUCCAACAGGAUUUAAAACUCAACCAAUUCAUCUCCAUCCCCAGUUUCAUUAACAGUUUACAUGACCUGGUUAUCUAGCCUUGUGACUGCUUUUAGAGUCAGUAGCAAUUAGUUGUGUCCCCUGUGUUUUAAUGAUAUGUGUUGUAAAUAUGUAUUUAGCUUUUUAUGGAGUUUUUAAGAAAUGGCUGCUUUGUAAUGUCGCCACCUUUCUGCUUUGCGGCACAGGUUAUUGCCUUGUCUUGGUCAGGUCGUUAUUGUAAAAGAGAAUGUGUUCUCAAUGACUUACUUAAAUAAAAUACCAUGUAAUUAAGUCUAUAAAUUGAGAGAAGUCUGCUAAAUACAGUUAAACCCCGGCCCUAGAAGACGUAUUUAGGGACAAUCUACACCCUCUCAUGGCUAUUAUAUAGCUAAUAGACGAGUGUGACACCAAACUAACGACACUCUUCCUUCUUCAAUGCUCCCCAGACACUGCAUGAAACAUUUCCCUCUCACAUACCGCUAUUAGCAGCUAUUGACCUGGGGACAUUUUCCUGGCUUUAUUGAAGGGGAAAGAGGGAAAAUGGACGUCAUUAAAGCCCAUUGAUUGGGAGAAUGUCUGCCUGUGUGAAUGUGAGAGCAGGGUGUUGUUUGUCGGGGGCUGGUUGCUGACGCUGAAUUUCCUCAACCCUGAUAGGUGAUAAUGGUUCCAGAACCCUCGUGACAGACAGGCUGAAUGUCAUCAGUUUGUUGCUUCCGUCCUGGCGGGGCGGGGUGAGAUGUGGCUCUUCUCCUCCUCUGUUUGCUGUGACUGUCCUCUGUCUCUGGUUGGUGCUACUGCUCCUCCUAGUGUUUGUGUCCCCUCCCUCCGGUUCUCCCAUGUGAAUACACCCGAGGCCUGUAAGCAUCCCAGACUGGACAUUAGCAGGACUGAUGGCAUGGCAGAGAGACUCCCAGGGCCUCCUAAUCACACACAGAACAUUAUUGGCCCAUUUCUCAACUAUCCGUGAAAAGAAAAGCUAGCGUCAGCAUCAUUAUCGUUUGUCACUAACUCACCAGACUAAAGAGUGUGUGUGUGUGUGUGUGUGUGUGUGUGUGUGUGUGUGUGUGUGUGUGUGUGUGUGUGUGUGUGUGUGUGUGUGUGUGUGUGUGUGUGUGUGUGUGUGUGUGUGUGUGUGUGUGUGUGUGUGUGUGUGUGUGUGUGUGUGUGUAAGUAACAGAAGAGCAAGAUUAUUAAUUUAAGGAUCUUUGCUGUGCAGCAGAAUUAGACUGCUUUGUUUGAAUGCUUAAACUAAGGGAAACACAUAGACUCUGACUUCAUUGAUUUCAAAGUUAUGUUAAAUCAUGUUGUCUUUUGUAAUUCAUCAUGCCUUAUACCUUUCCUUGAUGAUGGUUCUAGCUCUGUUUGUUGGACAUGUUUAGCUAGUUUUUCCUGUAUUAGCUCCAUAGGUAUGGAGUGAUUUCAGUACCAACAGAAAUUGUAUUUGAAUUCAAUCAUUUUGAAUUUGUAUUAGGAUAUUGAAUUUAAU